UGUGGUCUUUUGGGUCUACUCUCACUUAGCAUAAUGUCCAGGUUCAUGCAUGUGUUAGCAUUGUCAGUACUUUGUGCCUUUUUAUAGCUGCAUAAGAUUCCGUUGUGUGGCUAGGCCACCUUUUGUUUAUCCCUUCCUCUGAUGAUGGAUGUUGGGGUGACUUCCACUCUUUGGUGACUGUUUAAUAGGACUGCCAUGAACGUUCACGUCUGCGUUUUUAUUUGAGCACCUGCUUUUAGUUUUCUUGGGUGUAUAUACCAAGGAGUGGAAUUCUUCACUUAACCUUUGGAGGAACUGCCAGACUUUUCCACAGUGGCUGCACUGUUUUCCAUUCCUGUGCUGAGUUUUACUUGCAUUGUGUCAUCAGUCCUCACAUAAGUUUCGUGAGGUGUAGAUAUAAUUGUUAUCGCCCCCACCUUUCAAGUGGGAGAACUGAAGCUCAGAGGGUUUCAGCCCAGGGUCAUACAACCAGGAAGUCAACAGUGGUUUGGCCCACGCUGGCUGCCAUCACUGAAGGGGUCUCUCUUCUCCCAGGCCCUGCUUUGUGCCAUUAGGAUGAGGACUUUUGACUGUGUUGUUCGCCUGGCACACAUCGGCACUCAGAUGGUUAUUGAAGAAAAUGCCGUUGUUUUCUGAUCUUGGUGGCUCGAACAGGAGCUUGAAGGAGGCAUCUGUUUCCUAGGAGUUCCUCUACUCUGCAGUUUUUCAGACUUCCACUGGGUUUUGCAUUCUCCUCUCCACACCAGAUGCUGCAGACCUCCCACAAGUUUCUUGCUGUCAGACAUCUCUCUUGGAGACUCAGCCUGUGGCUAGGGAAUGAGAUGCAUGGAGUGUGCUAAGCAGAGGCAAAACCCAUUUACGGUGGCUGGCUGCUCCUGGCUCCAGAUGGGACUGACCUUGACAACCCAGUGCAUCGGUCUCGGAAAUGGCAGUGGCGGUUCUUUAUCCUCUACAAGCACAGCCUCUUGCGCUACGCCCUGGACGAGAUGGUGAGUGUCCUCCUCUGCCCACU
rnacentral:lncRNA from 1 species